UACAGAGGGUGCGAGCGUUGUUCGGAAUUAUUGGGCGUAAAGAGCUCGUAGGUGGCCUGUCGCGUCGGCUGUGAAAACCCGGGGCUCAACUCCGGGCCUGCAGCCGAUACGGGCAGACUAGAGUUCGGCAGGGGAGACUGGAAUUCCUGGUGUAGCGGUGAAAUGCGCAGAUAUCAGGAGGAACACCGGUGGCGAAGGCGGGUCUCUGGGCCGAUACUGACGCUGAGGAGCGAAAGCGUGGGGAGCGAACAGG
rnacentral:rRNA from 1 species